rnacentral:rRNA from 1 species
UACGAAGGGGGCAAGCGUUGCUCGGAAUUACUGGGCGUAAAGGGCGCGUAGGCGGACGAUUAAGUCGGGGGUGAAAGCCCAGGGCUCAACCCUGGAAAUGCCUUCGAUACUGGUCGUCUUGAGUACGGGAGAGGUGUGUGGAACUCCGAGUGUAGAGGUGAAAUUCGUAGAUAUUCGGAAGAACACCAGUGGCGAAGGCGACACACUGGCCCGUUACUGACGCUGAGGCGCGCAAGCGUGGGGAGCAAACAGG